rnacentral:lncRNA from 1 species
UUUUUUUUUUUUUUCUGCUUUAUCUCCCCAACCCCCCCCCCCCUCCCCCUGUACACAGUUGUAUAUCUUAGUUGCCGGUCCUUCUAGUUGUGGGAUGUGGGACACUGCCUCAACGUGGCCUGAUGAGUGGUGCCAUGUCCGUGCCCAGGAUCCGAACCCUGGGCCGCUGCAGCAGAGCGUGCGAACUUAACCACUCCACCACGGAGCCAACCCCAAUACCUUGUUUUCUAUUUAGGCCUGUGCAGGGACCACGUACUGUUCACAGAUUUCCAUUCCAUCUGUUUUCCUUAUUAGUAAUAAGCACCCUAAUUUUCAUCUGGCCAUCUGGAUGCCCACUAGCCACUACAUUCCACCACUUCCAUAGCAGGUAAGUGUGGCCACAUCGUUAAGUCUGGACAAAAGCGAUGUGGGUGGAAGUCCAUCUGCAACUUGUAGGUCAUUUCCUUAAGAACAAUUUGCUUUAUCUAAACCUUCUUUUCCUUAUGGAUGGGGAAUGGCAACUAAUGGAACAGUUUGGAUAUCAGGGAUAUACCACCAGCAUUGGACUGCUUUAGCUCUGGGAUAGUAUUUGCAAGAAAAAUAAACUGUAUCUAUUUAGGACAUUGUAUAUUUUGUCAUCUUUGUAUAAAGUUUAACCUGUACCCUACUUACUAUAGAAAUUAAUAUAUGAAACUAUGUUGCUGCCAUAACAAAGCCUAAAAUAUGUGGCCUGUCUUUGUGGUCAGGUAGAAGGCAACCAAGAAACAUAUUAAGGCUGGAAAGCUCGUGACCCUUCUGCAAUGUCUUGGCAACUUGUUUGGUAAAAUUGUCACCUGCAAUGACUUGGAAGGAUGAUCACUUAACUUUAGAGAAGUGGUUAGAAAAAUGUAGACUCUCAUGUGUUUUGACUGCUUCUUGCUGCUUUUUCAAGAUUUGAGAAGAAAGAAAUGAGCUCGGGCAAGAAUUGGCCAAUUUGUAAGGGGAGAUGGAAGGGAGUGGAGCUGUGCUAAUGGAGGCUUUCUCUGCCUUUGAUCUGUAGUCUAAAUUGAAGGUCUCGAAAUUUGGAGCCUACAAGGUUGGAAAAGUCGACUUCAACUGUACCUGAAACAGCAGGAGAUAGACUCAUUCAUAACCUUUCUCAAGGUGUCCCAUUUAGAUUGCUCAGCUAGUGGGAGGUAGUUAUGGCUUCUGAAUCCGCCUUAACAUAGUUGCUGUUGAAAUAGAGAAGAGGAGAAUGGGCUGAGCUAGCAGCUAAUAAAGGAGUGAGAAGCAGACUUAGGAAGUUGUCCAGAAGAAAUCUUGAGUAUGAUUGCUUUCACAUGGAACCAGUGGCACGCUGAUGAAUAUUUAAUAACCAGUUCUAUGUUUUUUUAAAAAAAGCCUUGAUUUUUAAUGUCUGCUUAUUUUUAUGGUAUAAAUACUCCCACCAUGGUCUAUUUCAAGCUACCAAUAUGAUGCCACUGAUUAUGUGGAGUUGGGAAGAGAUGUGCACAGUACAUUCUUGCAAGCCGGUGCAAGCCAGGUCCAGCACUCCACUGCAUGGAACUGACCGCAAGAAAAUAGACAAGCAGCCUUCUGAGUUUUCGGAGUAGCUGAAUUGCCCAAAAAAUCAUAAGCCUUAAAAGCCUUACAAAGCCUUACAAAGGUUGGUGCAUUUUCUCAUCCGUAAAGAAUCCCUCAGGCUCUUAAACUUACAAAAGCAAGAAAUGAGUUGUCCAGAAGGGCAUCUCUAACACCUUCAGAGGAGGCCGCAGAGGGUAAUAGAUAAAUAAUAUUCUCCCAGAAGGCAAAGCCAGGGUCACAGACAGCAAUAGUGAGGGGAGUCAUUCCCAGAGAUCAGAAUCCAGGUUACUUACUGCCCUGCCAGAGCAGGAGGUCCUCACAAUUACUGCUUAGCAGGAUGUCAUCAGGGCCAUGGACCAGUAACCACUGAGUGUUCCCCAUCCUUUCCUUUAAAUGGGAGUUUUUAUUGUGAAUAUGCUGUUGCUGCUUUACCACUGCCUAUUGAAUGUGUGGGGGCUUAGAAAGGAGGGAAGUACAUGUCACUUGCCUACUAGUUUGUAAGUCACUGGACCACCAGGAGCCAACCUCAGACCUGAUACAGAUGACUGUACAUCACUUAGAGAUUCUGGAGGCUGGGCUGGAUGUAGGAACUGGAUGGAAUUUGGAUCUAUCUCCUUAAAGGAGAAAGUAAGGGUGUUCUAUGAAUUGGAAGAAGAGUGAUCAUGGGUACGUGUGCGGCCAGCAUGGCAAAACAUGGACGAGAUCAAUAAUUAUUCCUCAGCAUCCACUCUGCUAUCUUCCUUUUAAUAAUACAAUCUCAUUGAGUUUUAGUUGGGCAUGUAGACUUUUAGGCCAAAGACAAAAUUUCCCAGCCUCCCUCGCAGUGAGAGUGGCCAGACAAUUAUGUUUGAAACAGUGUUGUCAGUGGAAAAGAUAGGUACAGCUUCCAGGUCAUCUCCUUGUUGGAUCAAACAUUUGCCAAGUCCUGAGAAUGUGCAUGCCAAAGUGCCCACAAUGCCAGCUUGACCUCUGAGAACUUUUCCCAUGCUUUUGUGACAUAAAUCAGAAAUGACCAUCCUGCAGGAGACUAACAUUCCUCUUCUUGAUCAAUCGAGUGAUUCCUUCAGAUUCUUGCCCCAUGUGGGCAAAACUUCCUCCUUUUACAUUAGAUCUAGCCUUCUACCUUUAACUCACUGAAGUUGGUUUUGAGUACUGUGGCUCUCUUUUGCCUGGCAAGAAAUAAACUCAGCUUGGUUUUUUCAGCUCUGGUGGUUGCAUUUUUAUCUGUCAUCCUGACAGAUAAGCUGCUUGCCACUAGUUUUCCUUUUCUUCCUUUCUGUUGGCUGGGAAAUGGCUCCUACUUGAAGGGCCUUGGAGGCUAUAUGCUGAGGAUGGCAGAGCUAUCCUGCCAAAUUUGGCCUGCUCCCCUCUGAUAUCCUGAAAGAGAAAAAUGAUCUCAUUUAAGCCACUGU